CUGUGUGGGAGAGCACCGGCAUACGGUGGCACCUUUCCGCUCCGCACCCCGCCCCGCCCCCGAAGUUAGCACCUUGCCCAGUGCUUGAGAGGAUGCGUGGACAGAUGUCUGAGUGAAUUUUCCCCAGAGUGUGAGCUGACAGCACCCAGCACACGCAGACACAGUGCAGACCCUUGUGCAAGUCUGUUGACGGGAGGACCAGAAGGGUGAAUGACAGAUGCCUGUCCUUCCUCCCCUUUCAGGAGGCCACUUUCCAUCCCAUGGGGGCCUCUGGACUAACCUGGUUUCACUGUCUCCACCAGACUCUUCCCGAUAUGUUCAGCCUUAAAGUGCUUCCACUUACCUAGUUCAUAACACACUCAGUCCUUUUGGAAAACAUUUAAUUUCACCCAUUUUUUUAUAUUAAAAACAUUCUAUAAUCCCCCAACCCCCACCUUAGAGGCCGGAUGUUUAUAGAGGUUGUUCCCUGUGUCUUGCACUGUUUGUUAAAAUCUCAGUGAAAUGGUUGUAGCUGGUGGCGGGUGGACUGCCUUCCAGAGGCGGUGUGCUCCUCUGCGUCCACCCAGGGCUCCUCCGGUGGCACGCGGACUCCUCAGCACCCUGCCCCGCGCCCCUCCGUGGCCACCUCACCCGCAGAGGAAGAUCCCCACUCCUCAGCCAGACUUUCGCGGUUCUACAAGCUCUGCCCCCGCCUGCCUUUCCAGUGCUUUCUCCGUCUUGCCCCCUAAGAAGCUUUGCUCCAGCCGAACUUGUCUCCUCAUUGUCUUUCCAAUGCCUGUGUCUGGGAGGACCCUCACCAGUCCCACAGCUUCAGCUCCCCCACCCUGCUCGAUUCUUUGUUUCUCAGCUUCAGCUUGAGUUUCGAAUCGCCUGUUGCCAUCUCUUUCCAUUGUGCCCUGCCAGCAACUCAAAUUCAACAUGGCUAAGGCCUGCCUUUGUUUCUCCUCCCCAAAUUGUCCUCCUUACCCCACCCCCAUCUAUGUCAGGGGUCCCACCAUCCUCUUGACACUCAGUGUGAGAUCUCAGAGGCUGCUGGACUUUUCCUUAGCCCCCUACUCCUAGCGAGUGCCCACAUUCUAUCAGUUCAUCCUAAUAAUACCUGUUAGUAUCCACUAACCACAGAUCCACUGUGUCUAGUAGCUUGGAUGUGGUAUCUGCAAUCUCCAAAGUAAGGCUGUGGGCUGCAGAAGGUCCAGACGGAGCUGGUGCACGGAGGGCUCAGGGAUGCGGGGUCUAACGGAAGCGGGUGUCUCCUCCUCUCUUAUGCUGUGGUCCAGAGGUGAGCGGGUGGGCCUUCCCUGUUCUGCCGGAGGAGUAAGUGGUCCAGGGCAUCCAGGAACCCAGCUGGGAGGUCAGUCUGUCAUCUGCAUGGGGUGGCUUUGUGCCUGUUCUGGUUGUUUCCACUUCCCAGCCUGCGGAAAGAAUGAAAGAGGUCCCAUGGCAAAUAACUGAUCCUGUCUUUAAGGAGUGACUCGAAAGUUGCACAUUUCGCUUCUGCUGUGUCCCAUUGCUCUGAGCGGAGUCACAUGACUCUCAGAAGCUGCAAACGAGGCUGGGAAAUGCUGCCUCUACAUGGUGGCCGCACGUGCCCAGUAAAAUGGGUUGGCGGUUCUAUCAUAAAAGGAAGAAGAGGAGGAUGGAUACUGGUGAGUAUUGUUACCUUCCCUUUAAAGAUGACAGAACUGAGGCUUGGAGAACUGAAGUGACGUGGCCUAAGGUGCCAGAACCUGCCGGGACUGGCUCCCAGGUCUGCCUAACCUGAGGAGUUCUGCUACCCUGCAGGGCCGCUCGAUCAACAGCACAGGAGUGACCACGAAUAAGAGAAGCGACUGAGAGAAAGCUCACCAAGGGCAGGGCUUGCAGGAAGGAAGGGGGCUCAGGUUAGGGAGCGAGGAGGAGAAAGGAAAGGGGGAUCUUUCUUCUUAGCACGUAGGUCUGUAGCCCGCUGUGGGUUUGGCCUCUUCAGUUCACAUCAAUGAACGCUCCUUGAGUGCCUCUUCUUUGAAAGGUCCAGGUGGGAGGAAGACGCAAUGGUAAAAUUGGAGCAGAAUCCUGUUUGAAACCCUCGGCGUGUGCACUACCUUCAGCUGUCAGUCAGCUACCUGCUGGGCCCGCGGGCCCUGUGCGCCCUGCCUCUGCCUUGGCCUCGCCUGCCUCUCCUCCCGCUCCUUCCCUGACCUGCCACAGCUGGGCUACUUGCACCCGUCUGUGUGCACACCUGG
rnacentral:lncRNA from 1 species